UACGAAGGGGGCUAGCGUUGUUCGGAAUUACUGGGCGUAAAGCGCGUGUAGGCGGCCCUGCAAGUCGGAUGUGAAAUCCCACGGCUCAACCGUGGAAGUGCAUUCGAAACUGCAGGGCUAGAGUCCUGGAGAGGAAGGUGGAAUGCUUGGUGUAGAGGUGAAAUUCGUAGAUAUCAAGCGGAACACCGGUGGCGAAGGCGGCCUUCUGGACAGUGACUGACGCUGAGACGCGAAAGCGUGGGGAGCAAACGGG
rnacentral:rRNA from 1 species